ACUCCGUGUCACAGGAAGGGCUUGUGAGCUCUAAUCAUUAUGUAGUAAGGAUUUAUCCUCCUCUCAUUCUCUCUCUCCCUCCUCGCCGGCCGCCUCCCUCCACCCAUCCCGUUUAUUUCCCUCCCUCCGCUCUCAGCUCGCCGGCCGACCCACAACUCUGGCUUUCAGCCGCCGGAUCAUUGUGCAGCGUCUCACCUCGCUCUCCUCGUGAGACCCAUCCUUUUUGUUUUUUGACUUUGUCGACCCGUCACGGUCGAUGCGUUAUCUUCUCUGCAGCUCACAUCAACAGUCUUUCCUGGAUCUGCUUCAGUUGAACCUCCUGUUGGACAAAGAACAAACAACCGUCCCUGGAGAUCAGCUUGUAAUUUCUCGGAUCUUUUACAGGAAGUUUCUUUCCUCCAAACGUUCCCCACUGCUCAACGCGUCUCUGCUCGUCACUCCCCCUCAUCGCGUUGUGGCAUUGAGCCCGCGGGUCGUGUUCAGCCUAAAUGUUUGAAAGGUCGCGCUGUUGUUCAGGACAUGGAGCUGCACCCAGGUCAGUCCACACGGCCAGCGCAGCCCGUCUGCAGGUGACUCACGUCGGCUCUUGUGUCACAAAUUCACAAGAACCUUCAGGCCUGAAGCUGUUUUGCUCCAAAUUGCUCGGCGGGUCGGGCCCCCAGCGCUUCAUGGAGCACGGAGAGGACAAUUGCAUCUGCUGCUUUACAUGCAAGUGGGGUUUCUACAACACCUGCGCUGCGUGGUCCAGUUUACUUAGAGCGAACUGUGGUUUUUACUUGGGAUUCUCAUUAAGCCACACAUAGCGUCAUUAGCGCCAACAUUAGGACCAAAUGAGUUCAAUGUGGGUUUGAGACCACGAUUAUGGCAACAAUUACUUUGCUUAUCAUGACCCCUCUGGUAUUUACCAAACCAGGUGGUAUUAGUUUUUCUCAGUCCCUUUAGUACAAUUCUCAGAUCAGACUAAAAUUCUCAAAACUACUUGUUCAAUCUUCACAUCAUGAUGUCACUUGUGCAGAUCAUAUAAGCAGUUCCUCACUUCUUUGAACAAGUUGAAACUGCUUUGGUACGUGCAUUCAAAUGAUUCUGUACAAAUCACUGCUCUUUGCUACAUCAUCAAUUGUUUAUGUCAUGUUGAUCAAAUGUAUUAUAUAGUUCACUGUGCAAUAGUCUUACUCCUCAAAACAUCUAGUCAUUAGUUCGCAUGUAAGUCAUUAACUGCAAAAUGGUUGAACAAGUUGUCAUAAUGUGACAAACAUAUUUCUAUACAUCUACAUUAUGUUUUUUUUCUAAAUCUGUCCUGAAUUGGUAAAUUGCUCUCAGGUGACUUGACUUUCUCUAACACAGGUGCGUUCCUUAUCCCUAUUGAGCAAUUUUUCUCAGCAUGGAGAUGGAAGGUUUAUGAUCGCCAGCCACAUAAACAAAUGACAUCACAGCAGACGCCUGCAGAGGCUGAUUUAGACACUCCAGAAGAUUCUUUCAACGCUGCAUUGCAAGAAAAGAAAAAAAAAUUCUCUGUGAUGUGGAUGAGAACGUGUGGCCCAACAUACAGGAACGACGGGGUGUAGGAAGACAACACCUUCCUACAGCACCGCAUGUACAGUCUUUUUUUUUCUCUUUGUGUUACUGUUUGCAGUGUUUUUUUUCUACAUUGUAUGACAUGGUCCCUCAACAACUUACAAUAAUUGUCAUCAAAACUUUAGCCAUAGUUUAUAUCAGAACCUCCCUCUAACGUACACAGUUAUAUUGACAAUAUGACUAAGUAAUUUGACUGUGUAUAGACAAUAUGUCUAUACACAUAGACAAUGACACAAGGACUUGACAUUCUGAUGGCAAUGACAUAACAACUUAAAAUGAUUUUGAGCAAGUUACAGGCUUUUGCAAGAAAUUCCUAGUGUUUUGCUGUUUGUACAAAUUGUUUUGAGAAAUGCACACACAUAUUUGCAAACUUGAAUUCUGAUCUGAGAAUUGUACUAAAGCGGCUGAGAAAGUUGUAACAGCUCCUCCAGUUCUAAAAACUGUCAGACCUUGUUCAUAAACAUAGUUCUACAAAUUACACUAUGAAUUCAUGUUUGUAUAUGCUUUAUAGUAUCCAUCUAAUUAAACUGGGAGACACAGAUGUGUGAACAGGUUGAAACAUAGACAUAGUCACCAGGUCAGACCACAGGGUCAAUGGAAGAAGUAUGGCCCAAACAUGUGCUUGUCAGAGUGGAGAAUAAGUUCUGACUCUUUGCUGUGGAUGCAUGUGUUCUACAAUCUUCAGGGUAAUAAUCUAAUCAUCCUGGGUUGGGUGGCUCAAUUGGGGGAUGGCCCACGAAUGGCCUUCUAUAACUUCUAUAAGAGGUCCAGUGCAGGACCAGUAACUCUGGUCAUAAAGUCAAAUAUUGUAGUGGCUGUUUACCACAUUCAUUACGAAUCAGAAUCAGAAUCAGCUAAGUGUUCAUUGCCAGGUACAGUAACACUUUACACUACCACGAACUGGCCUUGGUGUCAGCUGCAUCUAAAAUAUAAACUACUAAAGUUACUAAAUUCUAGGUACUAUAUACUGUACACGGCCAUAGCGUUAAUCUAAUGCAGAAAAUGAAAUAGAAUGGGAAAGUACAUACAGACAAAAUGACUGCCAGUUGCCAUCCCACCACCACAUCCUGUGAGCUGAUGGCAUUUAGCUGGAGACUCCAGCCUCCUCCCUCCUCACCCUAACUUCACAUGUACAGUACACCACACUGGGGGAUGCUUGUUUACAGCACCAGUGACUCCAGUGAGCUGGCGACGUCAGAGCUUCAGGGGUGAUGCAUACUGAUGGGACACGUCGGUAAUGACUCCUGGAGCAGCACGUGAGAGCGUUGGUGUUUGGGUCAUAGAAGGCAAUGACAGCCAAACGUUGUGUUUGUCCACUAGGUGGUGAUGGUGACCCAGCACAUCCGGGACUGCAGCUCAAUCAACGAUUUAAAACAUUUAAAUGCCUUUGUUUCUUGUAUGGCUGCACAAAACAUUGUGGUUUGUGUUGAUGUCCGUGCCUCAUGGGAGGAAAAAAGUUUUCCUACCUACUGUUCUUAAGUCUGACUGGAGCUGAGCUGCAACUAAAAGGCAACUAUUCAAUAAUGAAAACGAAUAAAACUAAAAGUCUUUGUACUGUAUGUAGAUCUCAGUUUGACUAGAGGGUCUCAGGGGCUGCUCCUCUACAAAUAAGGUGUUGACAUCAAAGGAAGCAGCUGAUCAUCUCUGAUUUAACCUGCUUUAAUCUCUGUCAAAUUUGUUUAUUAGUCGUGAGUGAAGCCUUCGAUUCUAGAGCAUCCAUCCAAGGCACUUUCAACACACUCACAUAUUCACUAUUCCUUUUUGGAGCUUGUUCAAACAGCACAUUUCUGUCAUGUGUCACACAGGACACACUCAUCGUGACUGUGUGUUUUGGUUCUUCUCAGGAUGUUUCACAUCAUGCUGGUGGGAACCUUCUGUCUGUUUCCUUAAGGACGCUGUCAGUGAAGACCCAGUUUGGUUUAGAUUGAAACAUCCACAUGGAUCGAGUCUGAAACUGAGCUCUGAACACAUUAGACCACCUCCUCACCCGAGAAGUGCAGGUGUGUUACGCUGAACUUGCUGCUGAGUUCUACUAAUCAGCUGGCUAAACAGUUGAUCUUCCUCUGACUGAGAUGGAAAUGAUUAUUCCUGGUUUUAUUCUCUCACAAGACUGUUUAACUUUAUUUUUGUGAAACAUUUCUGGAUUAAAGUGGUCCAGAUUAAUUUCCGACUCCUGUUCACUUCUGGACAUACUGUUGUUGUUGUUUUUUCCCCACUGAUCCUAGAUUAGCUUGGCUCCUUUCCCAAAGAUGAACCCAGGAACUGAAGAUAGAUGUUGUGGCCCAGUGUGAGCUGACAACAUGCAGCUCACACUGGCAGCUACAUUUCAUCAUGUAAAUGAAACUUUGCUAUAUUUUAUUGUAAACAUCAGACUCAGACAUCCCAUGAGCUUCUACUGUUGCACACUGUAAUACCUCAUUCAAUGCAAUAAAUACUACUACUACUACUAGUAUUUACGUCACAGUCAGUUCUGUCACUGACUCACUACCAGGACCAGCAUAUAAAACGUGACUGUUAAUCUUGUAGCUGUUGACGCCUUUGAUCAGGACUUGGACUUUUGUCCUCUGUGACCUCUUAUUACAUCCUGCCUCAGUGAACGUGUGUCCUUCUAAGAGAUUGUUGCGAUUUCUACUGACCUUCAGCGCAUAUUGCUGAAUUAAACAACACACAAAUUGUGUAUUCAGUAAUUUGAUGAAAUGAAGUAAAUAGGAACAAAUGAACAUCCUGUUACAACACUGUUCUGAUCUGUGUGUUAUUAAGCAGGUCAUAAAGUACAGGCGUUAUAUCCUAAGUAGAAGGAUUUUUACUAACAUUCACAA